GGCCGCCUGGCGAAAUGGCAUCGCGUCUGACUACGAUAUAUGAGCUUGUUCUUGCACAUGCGUAAUAUCAGGAGAUUGCAGGUUCGACCCCUGCGGUGGUCA